rnacentral:rRNA from 1 species
ACGAACGCUGGCGGCGUGCUUAACACAUGCAAGUCGAGCGGAAAGGCCUUUCGGGGUACUCGAGCGGCGAACGGGUGAGUAACACGUGAGUAACCUGCCCUCAGCUUUGGGAUAACCAUCGGAAACGGUGGCUAAUACCGAAUAUUCACUUCUCUUCGCAUGUUGGGUUGUGGAAAGUUUUUCGGCUGGGGAUGGGCUCGCGGCCUAUCAGCUUGUUGGUGGGGUGAUGGCCUACCAAGGCUUUGACGGGUAGCCGGCCUGAGAGGGCGACCGGCCACACUGGGACUGAGACACGGCCCAGACUCCUACGGGAGGCAGCAGUGGGGAAUAUUGCACAAUGGGCGGAAGCCUGAUGCAGCGACGCCGCGUGAGGGAUGACGGCCUUCGGGUUGUAAACCUCUUUCAGCAGGGACGAAGCGAAAGUGACGGUACCUGCAGAAGAAGCGCCGGCCAACUACGUGCCAGCAGCCGCGGUAAGACGUAGGGCGCGAGCGUUGUCCGGAUUUAUUGGGCGUAAAGAGCUCGUAGGCGGCUUGUUGCGUCGUCCGUGAAAACCUGGGGCUCAACUCCAGGCUUGCGGUCGAUACGGGCAGGCUAGAGUUCGGUAGGGGAGACUGGAAUUCCUGGUGUAGCGGUGAAAUGCGCAGAUAUCAGGAGGAACACCGGUGGCGAAGGCGGGUCUCUGGGCCGAUACUGAC